rnacentral:rRNA from 1 species
GACGAACGCUGGCGGCGUGCUUAACACAUGCAAGUCGAACGAUGAACUUGGAGCUUGCUCUGGGGGAUUAGUGGCGAACGGGUGAGUAACACGUGAGUAACCUGCCCUGGACUCUGGGAUAACUUCGAGAAAUCGGAGCUAAUACCGGAUAGGACCUUGCACCGCAUGGUGUGGGGUGGAAAGUUUUUCGGUUUGGGAUGGACUCGCGGCCUAUCAGCUUGUUGGUGAGGUAAUGGCUCACCAAGGCGUCGACGGGUAGCCGGCCUGAGAGGGUGACCGGCCACACUGGGACUGAGACACGGCCCAGACUCCUACGGGAGGCAGCAGUGGGGAAUAUUGCACAAUGGGCGCAAGCCUGAUGCAGCAACGCCGCGUGCGGGAUGACGGCCUUCGGGUUGUAAACCGCUUUUAGUAGGGAAGAAGCGAAAGUGACGGUACCUGCAGAAGAAGCACCGGCUAACUACGUGCCAGCCGCCGCUGUAACAC